rnacentral:misc_RNA from 1 species
GUCUCACCUGACUCCUGCCAAACUGAUGUUUAUAUUCAUACAUUUUUCAAAAUAAAAAAACGGCCUUAGAAUUUUACAAAACAAAGACAAAUCCGCUGUAAAAACUUGUUUAUACGAUGGACCGACUCGUUAUUGUUAAAUUGUAGUGCUUACAAUGAACUUGCAGACUCUCUUUCAGGAUUUUAAUCCGAGUAAAUUCAUAGUCCACACAUGCCUGUUUACAUUCACGAUAUUCUUUGCCUUACGUUUGGAUAACCACAUAACUUGGUCAUACUGGACAGUUUUUACUCCAAUAUGGGUAUGGAAAGCAUUGGUGAUCACUGGUGCUACUGUUGGCAGCUACGUAUGGUGGAGAUAUCCACAUUUCAGGUUAGAAGGAGAGGCUUACAUCCACUACAAAUCAAUGCUAAUUUCCUUAGCGUUGCACCUUAUCCUACUUAUGUUCGAACUGCUCGUCUGUGAUAAAUUAGAGUCUUACAGACAUUUAUGGAUUUUAGUGUUUAUACCGCUGAUCUUUAUUAGCAUUGUUAGUAUAGCUGUUUGUAUAUGGGCUGUAAAACACGAGCGGAGUUUUGAGUUGGAGCUCUUUUGUGCCGUAAAUGUCUUACAGUUCAUUUUCCUUGCAUUAAAACUAGACGAAUUUAUCGGGUGGUCGUGGGAGGUGGUCUUUGUGCCCCUAUGGAUCGUAAUGUGUUUAGCCCUGGUGGGCGUUUUGUAUACCAUAAUAUUUGCGGCAAUUUUAUUAAGAACUCCAGAAGUGAGUGCACAACAGAGACGAAGCAGCUUCCAUUCAGCUUUAGGUUAUACAUUCUUAGUGAUUCCUAUUUUGAUAUUUCAAGUUUUAUUAGCCAACAAAUUAGAUGAAGACAUACGGAUGUCUUUUACGGCAGUAGUUAGUCCACUUUUUAUAUCAUUCACUACACUUAUCUUAAUGUCUUUUAGUGCCAAGGGAGCGAAUAAAUGGUGGUUUGGGAUGAGAAAAGACUUUUGUUCCUUCAUAUUGGGUGCUUGUCCUCUACUCCAGGAAUAUGGUAAUAUAGCUUAUCAGCCGGAACGACGGCCCAACGGGGUCGAGUUACAACAAACGGAAAAAACAGAUUUGCAAUUUAAAAAGGCCGAUCUGACGAAACCCGUUGUGCCCAUUAUUAGUAUCGAAAUGCCAGACUGAGGAAAAUUUUGAGGAAAUUUAAGGUUUUAAAGUGCUUAAUUGGUGGAAGGUGAGAUGUGGCAAUACAGGGUUUCUAUGUUUGCCUCUUGAGUAUUAUAGUAAGACUUUUAAUGUUUCAUGCCAGGAUGAGAAUUAAUGUGAAAUUUUAUUGUUAGUGUAAAAUGUUUUAGAUGUAAUCGAAUUCUUGCCUUUAGGGGUCAUUUUAAGUCAUAAUUGCCUGAUUUUCAUAAAUACUAGUGGGAUAUACACGUAAGGCAAUAAGUACAGCCGUUUUUACAUUAAAAACAUAUCGAACUGGAGAAAAAUUAAUAAGACGUUUUUUUUAUUGUAAAUCUUAGGGUUAAUCUGAGAAUGAGAUUAGGGUAGAGUGCUUUCUAGAGUGCGCACUUAAGGUUUAAUCAGGUAAAAAAUCCAAACGAAUUGCGUUGAAAAUAUAUAUUUUUUUUAUUUAUGACUGUUGAUACUUAAACAACAAAAUAAGGUAUAAUUCGCAAACUAAACACCAGUACUUCAACAGAAAAAAUUAAACUUAAAAAAAAACUGAUUUUGCGCACUCUUAUAAACCCGCUUUUUAAGAGUACGCAUUUAGUAUUGUAAGAGUACGUACGCAAUUUUAUGAACAUAGGUCACAUGUAUAAGAUCCAGAACCCUCGUAGGCACUGCAUUUUUCAUGCCACCAUUCAGCACACAAUAUGCACUCAAUCCAGUCUUCUGUAACAGGUUCUUUAAAUGUUUCGUUGCACCCUGGACAUCUCCACAUUUUCUUAUGAGACGGUGAUUUUGGCUUCUUCAAAACAGCUUUUCUAUUUUUCGGUGUCUUCUUUGCCUGUCUGAGGUUCACAGCGCAUUUUCUUUUUAAACUCUCUUCCGAAAGCUCUUGUGGUGGUGGUAGGUUAUCGCCCAUAUCUAGUUUGACUAUGGGUUUCGGUUUUUUUUCCUCUUUUUCUUCAAUUAGUUGGUCCUUAUAUGCGGAGCUGGUGAUAAUUUCCGACUUUUUGCUUCUGCGACUUGUUGACCUGAACGUAAUCGAUUUGGGUAAUGGAGAAAUUGUUGUUAAUUUAAUAUAAGUUGAUGAUGUUCCAGGAGUGUUCGAUAAAUCAAAUGUUUUGGUUUCUGAUGCUACAGCAACUGUUUGUUCCAAAGUUGAAAUGAUUGCAGAUGUGUUGGAAACCAGCUCUGUAGGCUGAGGUGAAUUUUUCUUAGUAGUGGAACUCUCAAGAACAACAGUUGGACUGUCAAGAACUUUGGAAGCAUUUUCAGAGAUUUGAUGAGGUUGAAUAUUGAUUUUAGAUGUUGAGUUAUCAGCGACUUCUAACUGAAUGUUUGGCGCUUCUAUUUGCCUAGCUACUGUAGCUGUAGCAGAAUUUUCUCGUUCUGUGACUAAAGUGGCCAUGAAGUCAGCUUCGGUAAAUAUAUCAUCAUUAAAGGGACAUAUCCCUGUCACUUUAAAACCUUCAAUCGCAUUCGUUAAAGUAGCAGCUUUAAAAUAUGCAGGUGCAAAUAUUGAAGCAAUUUGGUAGACCGUAAUUACCCGCCCUGGAUGGUUCGUCAACCAUUUUUCACACUCGUUGGAAUAAAACUUUUUUAACGGGCUAAAAAUACAUCGGUCAAGUGGCUGCAUACGGUGGCUACUAUGAGGAGGAAGUGUUAAUGCGAUAAUGUUAUAUUGUCGAAAAAAAUCAACUGCUGCAAUAGAACAAUGGGAAGUGUGGUUAUCCAUUAUCAUUAGUACUGGUUGUUCCUUUGUUGGCUUAGCAUGAUCUCAAAAAUGUGUGGCAUAAUCAACAAACAAAUCCUGAUUGAUGAAACUACUAUCAGAUACCAUUCCAAUUGAAGAUGGCGGAGCUCCGUCCAAAAGUUCUGCCUUCAUUCUUUUACGUGGAUAUAUAAAUGCAGGAGGAAUAAAUUGUCCACUAGCACUCAUUGCACAUACAACAGUAACAUUGGUUCCCCGUUCUGCGCUUGAUAUUUUAUUGACACACCUUUUUCCUUUUGUAGAGAAAACUUUAGGGGGCAUGUUUGGGACAGUUGAAAAUCCCGAUUCGUCCAUAUUGUAAAUUGCAUGUGGCGGAAAUGUAUAUUUGUUCAUUAACUCCGAGAGGUUUUUAUAAAACCGCUCACACUAUAGUUUAUUAAAACCAACAGCCCUGGCGACGCUUGUAGCGGUGGGUUGCCUUAAUGUAACAUCUUUGUACCGUUUUAAAAAUCCACGCGGCCAGCCCUUGCCUGCCAUUUUUGAAGUUAUAUUAAAGCGAUGUUUUAAUUUGUUUUUUUCAGCGAACUCAAAUGCUAGACUUCUUAGAGCUCUAGAAGUUAACUCGUAAAACAUGUCUAUUGUUUUAAUAUAAUUACACAACUCUUCUUCCAUUUCUGCUGUUAAGGUAAUGUCGAAUCUUACCAGUUUUGUAGCUACAGUUGUCCUUUUUAGCCUUUUUCUUAACGUGCCUUCCGCCAUUCCUAAGGAUUUUGCCACGCUUCUUUUACUUUCUCCAUUUUCAAUCCUCUGUCUUGCUGCCUCCAUAACCGCCGGUGAGCAUAAAGCACGUUGAGAACUUCGUUUUCUGCCAGACAUGCUGAAACACAAGAAAAAAUACGUUUAAUCCGCUAGAACAAAAAACCUGGUUUGUAAGAGUGCGCGCGUACUCUUACAAUAUUAAUGAUUGCGCACUCUUACAAAACGAGCAUGUUUUAGAAAGCGCCAGUGCUGCCUCCAUCUUGGUUCGAAAUUGUAAACAAUGGUAUGAUUUAUACGAUUCAAUGUUUAUUGUAAGCAUGACAAAAUAUGACCGCGAAAUUCUUGAAAACUACAGUUGUGUACAAUAUCCAAAAUGUCAAAAUAUAAUAACAAAACAGAUAAAAUUCCUUAAACUUACCUAAUAACGUUAUUAUCGCUGUUUAUUUGCUUAAAAUGCACAAGAAACAUGCAGACACUCCUCUUAAUCAGUACGAACUAACACCUUGUUGUUGUCGACGACGUGCUCCAAAAAUCGACGAGUGCGUACUCUUAUUGACCGCGCACUCUUAGAGCACUCUACCCUACUGGAAAAUUCAGACCUUAAUUCAUACCUCAGCCACCACUUAGAAAAUCGAUGGUCUGUUUCUAUAUGAAAGAAACAAAGAAAGGGAAAACGUUGAUUUGCCAAAAAAAAUUACAGAUUACAAUAUUCGACAUAAUUUAAUUUAAUAAAAGAGGCAAAUAGGAGUGCAUCUCGAUUAUAAGAAAUCGUUUUACAGUAACAUUAACCAUAUGUAACUAUCUACAAAAUCACUGUUCAGGAAACAUAAAAUAAAGUUUAAAGGCUCUAUCAAAUCAAGGGUAUUAAAAAAAUAUUCCAGCAAACCACAUUUUUUAACUCGCAUAAUGUUUACUUGAAUAACAUGUUUUUAAAGUGAUCCAGAAUUUUGUAAAAAGUAGGUAAAUGAUAACUAACUUGAACAAGAAAAAUGCAGAUAGCCAUGUUUGACCCUAACAUAUUUUUUUAAAAGCUAACCUAGUGAUAUUUGUUGAAAAUAUCAAAAUAUCGGAUAUUAAUGAUCUACAGUGCGGCUCUAAAUUGUCCCCCCUCUUUUAUCUUUUGAAUGCGUUUAUAUAAAAAAAUUUUUUGAAAAAAGUUUGGCACACAUUAUUAGCAAUCUAAAUACUACUUAUUGGUCCCUAGGUCAUUUUGCAAAACUUCAAAAUGGUGGCGGUACGCCAUUUACUACCUGAACAGCUGUAGUAAAGAAAAUAAAAAUGCGAAAAAUAAGAUUUUGAAAGGCUGCUAUUUUGCUAUGGGUAGAAGUAAUGACUUAAUAUUCUAGGACCGUGAAGCAUCCAGUGAGAGCUUUUAAACGUUAUAUCGCAUGAUCCCCCGUUUCUAUUUCGUUUUUUUUCCCAAUUUUUAUAUAAACGCAUUCAAAAGAUAAGAGGGAGGGGGGACAAUUAAGAGCCACACUGUACGUACACUAUAGGCAAAAAGUGGAGAAACAAACACAUUUUUGUUAAUAAUUUUUUUUGUUUUUGUAAUAUUUUGUUCUUAUUUAGAAAAUAACUUAAAUGGGGAACAAUGAAACUUUACUUUAGAUUUUUUACACUUUAACGGGAUCCAAGCGGAAAAUAUAUUAUUAUAUAUUUUAAUAAAAGGCAAAAAGUGGAGAAACAAUUUAUUUAUUUAAUUCUUCCAUAGAGUAAAAUUAAUAUCGGGUUGCAAACCCCUAAGUCUUAAUAACUUCUAUACACCUAGAAUUUAUUGACAGCAUGAGUUUGUUAAUAUAUUCUGGACUUAUGGUCCACCAUAUUUUAUUUAAUUCUUCAAAUAAUUCAUCCUGGUUUCUGAAUUUAGCCUUGUUCUUUUGUCGUAGACGUCGAUCCAAUUCUUCCCAAAGAUUUUCUAUAGGGUUUAUAUCCGGGCUCUGAGCAGACCACCUCAAUACACUCAACUUUAUUGCUAGCUAACCACUAUUUCACAAGUACUGAGGUAUGCUUUGGAUUGUGUUGAAACGUCCACAAUAAUGGCAUGUUGUCUUCAGCAUGUGGAAGCAUUUGCUGCUCAAGAAUGCGCAGAUAUUUAAAACGAUUCAUUUUUGCAAUAGAUUAACACCUCUUCCUGAAAAACACCCCCGCAUCAUAACAUUUCCGCCGCCAUGUUUUAUAGUGGGCAAAAGGUAUUUAGGAUUAAGUCUACAAGUCUUCGGACGUCUUACCCACUUUACACCAUCGGAUCCAAACAAAUUGAAUUUGCUCUCAUCCGAAAAUAAAACAUUUUUCAAUUUUUCCACGGUCCAUGAAAGAUGAUCCCUUGCAAACUGUAGUCUGGUAGCCCUGCUCUUAGGGGAAAUAAAAUGAUUGUUUGAACACCAUCACCUAAAAUUAAGACGAAAAAGUCUUAUUAACAUCUGAAGUGAUUACCAUUUUUAUUUACUAACCUGAUAGGUUGCUGGGGCUUGGAACAUAGUCUGCAUCUUUAAGAGUCGUCUGUAUCAAAAGGUUGCUGAUAAAAUUCUCCUAAAAAAUAUAAAUGUAAUGUGGUAAAAUUACGAUCUUCUAAAAGUAAAUUUAUAUUUUAACAUUAUCUAGUUAUUUUACAUAUUAUCCGAUUAACUUUCAAGAAUUUGCACGUAAAAAUAUUUUGGUGAUAAUAAUUAAAAUUGGAAAAUUAUAUAAUAUGUUCAAUAAAAACGAUACUAGAUAUUACUUUCCAAUAAGUUCAAAAUAAUAAAAUAACCUACCAGUAAUGUAUAAAUUUCCAUAAAUGUCUAACUGAAGGUAAACCAAUACUUUCUACAGCUGUUCGUUUGGGUAAUAUUUUUUCCUCUGGAGCUCACUUUGUUGUAUUUUCACUGUUUAAUACCAUACCGGAUACACAAUAUUGAUUAAACCAUAACUGCUUUUAACAAACCAAACAAUGUAUCCCAAAUCAGCUGAUUUGUUCAAACAAGUAGCAAAGUGCGCGAAAAUAUCACUUAGUUAAUUUCAGAACAGGCUAUGUGAUUUUGGAUACAUAUGAAAUUAACAAAAAUAUAUUUUCACGGUUCCUAUGUGAUUUUAAACAUAUUUGGACCCAACAAAGACAUUUAAAAAGUACAUGGACACAUUGUGAAAUGCAAAUUUUUGCGCAAAAUUCAAAUUUAUUCAUAUUUGGAAGUAUCAGAAACCCUUGUUUUUAUCCAGACUGUGUAAAUAGCUAAAACAUAAAAUUCUUGUAGAUAGUCACAUUUGGAACCGAACCAUCGAAAUUUUCCACUAUACGACUUGCAGCUGUACUAAUUUAGUAGUCUAGUAGUCAAAAAUUUUUAUAAGAAAAUCUAUUGCGCUCAAAUAUUUAGGUAAUUAUUUUAUUUAUUAAGUGCAAUAUAUUGAACCACCAAAAAUUCAAAUAAUUCUUUUUCAUUUUUGUCAUUUCAGUCCCUUAAUGCAGCUUAACACAUUGACGGACAAUAGGAACAAGUGAAGUAAGGAAAUUAAUACUAUAUGUUUUUGUCAUUUUUGGAAUAUUAAAAGUAUAGUUUUAAACUUUCUUAAAUAAACUUAAUUUCUAUUAAUUCAGCAUACUUAACUAGGUUGCGGCUAUAACCGUCAUACCCUCAAGGGGACCCUACACACUAAGUAAUUUAUUAUAAUUUUAUAAUUAUUAGAUAUUAUUUUCGGUAUGUCAUGUUUCAAAGCAAUAUUAUGUUUCCCCUGUUUAUAACAAUGCUAAAAAUAUGUUUUUCGCUGAUAAUUUUCAGAGAGAGAAAUUUUCUCAGGAAAAUGCUGUGUUCGAUUGUAGUUGAUAUCAUUGGUUUGGACGGGUGCAAGUUUAAAUUGAAGCAAAGACCUUUCAUUCUGGCCAUCUAUGCCACCUAAAGAUCGUAUGAUUUUUUCCCUAUAUUCUAUAAACUUCAUUUGAGAACCCGUCUUUUCAUCUGAUCUGCCCUGUAAAACGUUCUCCUUUUCUAAGCUUACGACGUGUUAUUUCUUGCGGCAUACCCUUCUUAUUUACACAAAGAUGUUGUCACAUGUGCCUUUUUGCUAACUAAUCUGUUUCAUAAUGGUAAACUAUUAAUAUGAAAAUUUAAAUAUGUAAAUUAUUCUCCUAGUUUUUGAACUAUUUUAUUCGUAUUUUGUAGUUAAAAGUUGAUUAGUAGGGUUCUACUUACGUUUAGCUUAAUAUUUUCAUCUAUAGCGUCUAAGUUUUUAAGUAGUUCAUCCCAUUUGACGUCCCCAUUUUGGCCCCAAUUUAAGUUAUAUUAUUGUUAAUCCCUGUAUUUUACAUUUUAUAGAAUUUGUGUACUUGCUUGGUUUGACUGUCAGUAUUUUCUAAAAAUUAUUGGUCCCUUUUGGCAAAAACAAUGAAGAAAAUUCUAAACAUUUCUAAAUUGUUCCAUGGGUCCCUAAAAGGGACGCGUUUCGUGUCAUUUUAUUGAGUUUUAAUUGUUUAGUGAGUUUUUAUCUGGGAAACAAUUAAACGACAGUCAACGCGAGUUAGGUUAAAGUUUUUGACGUUGCCAAUAAAAGUGUGUUCCUGAAUUUCGUUACACUAUUAUAAUAAAAUGGUAUCCAUCAACAAAUGACAGCCUUUGUUUAAAUAUGACUGCAUCAAUCGCAUCAUAAGACUCAUUGGUUGUCAUGUUUAAAACAUAACCUUGGGCUGAACAAAGUUCUUAGAAUUUAAUUCCAUAUUUUGCCUGUUUGUUUUUCAUGUUCGUGCGAAAAUAAAGCCUUUCUCGAAAUAAUCAAGUUUCGUUUAAUGAUAAUGUUUCUAUUGGUACAUAUACGAGGUACGUCCAGAAAGUAAGUUCCGUUUGGUAAUAAAAAUAAAUUGUGUACAGAUACAGGAAAAAUAUUUAUUGCACAAAAAUCUACAACUCUUAAAUUAUUUUUUCCACAUAACUGCCGAAAUUUUGCAGGCAUUUGUCAUAGCAUGACACAGGUUUUUCUGUGCCUUCUUCAUAGAAGGUUGCUGCCUGUGUCUUUUACCAGAUGGAAAAAUUUUCUUUCAGCUCUUCGUCACUGUUGAAGUGUUGACCUCCAAGAAAAGACUUGAGAUGUAAGAACAGAUGAAAAUCGCUAGGAGCGAAGUCAGGGCUGAACGGAGGAUGGUCAAACACGUCCCAGCCAAAUCCCUGUAGGAGGUUUCUCGUCACAUUUGCAGUGUGUGGUCGUGCAUUGUCGUGAAGAAAAACAACACCUUUUGGCAAAAAUCCUCGGCGUUUAUUCUGUAUUGCGUGGCGCAAUUUGCUAAGUGUCUCGCAGUAAACAUCUGCCUUGAUUGUUUGACCUCGCGGUAAGAAAUCAAUCAGUAAGAUGCCUUUCUUGUCCCAAAACACUGUGCACAUGAUUUUUCGAGGUGUCAAGAUUUGUUUCGGCUUAAUCCUUGCUAAGGAUGAAGUGUGUCUCCAUUCCAUUGCUUGCCGUUUAGUUUUAGGUGUAUCCUAAGAAACCCAAGUUUUAUCUCCUGUGACUAUCUGUGACAGAAAAUCUUCGCCGCCUUCAUCAUAACGGAUUAAAAACUGAAGUGCAUCCGUUUAGUUGUGGGUUCCUCAGUAAGAAUUUUUGGCACCCAACGUGAGCAAAGUUUACGAAAUUUUAGUUUUUCGGUAACAAUUUCAUGAAUUAGUGAUCGUGAUAUUUGGGGAAAUUCCAUAGCGAGAGCACUAAUUGUAAACUUACGGGUUUCCUUAAGCUUUUCAUCAAUCGAUCGAACCAGUUCUUCUGUAAUCAAAGAUGGACGCCCACUUCGUUCUUCAUCGUGCACUUCACUACGUCCUUCGUUGAACUGUUGGACCCAUCUUCUCACUAUUGAAUCACUCAUCACGUUUUGUCCGUAAACUUCGCCGAUAAAUUUCAAUUGGUUUUACUUUCUUAGCAUUCAGAAAACGAAAAUCACAGAUCUAAUUUCACAAGCGGCGGGAUUUUCAAUCAACACCGACAUUAUAAACAAGCACAACAAAGCAUACGUGGCUGAUAGCGAUCUCAAACUGGCGCAGGUUUCUUCUCCUUGAUAUAGAGCGUCUGUCGCGCAUGCGCAAAACUGCGAUCGCAGCGCUGCAGCGGAUAUAAAUAGAAACGAAACUUACUUUCUGGACGUACCCCGUACGUUCGCAAACUUUUAUACAAGCAAAUCAAGAGAGACCUUUAUUUUCCUCAAAGGGUCUUUUGAAUUUUCUUCUUCUACACGAAACCAUCUUAAUAUUUGCUUAAACCUCCUUCCAGACAUUUGUAAAGGAAAUGCUGGAUGGUCUUUCUUCUUCAGGUGUCGUCUUCGUUGCGAAAGUUGGCAAUCAUCAAUGCUAUGCGUAUUCUUGAAACAGCAAAUCGAAAGUCACGCAUAUUCUUCUUCCGACACUUCUUAUUUGAAUCUGUCUCUCAGUAUCAUCAGUUGUAACAAACUGUAUUUUGACCUUCUCAUGAAAGGUCCCAUAUACUGUAAUUUUCGUUCUUUAAUUGUCAAAAUUAUUUCUUUUUCUUUGUUUACCCGUCUUAGCACUUCAGUAUUUUUUAUCCAGCUACCGUAAAACGGGGUUACUUUGAUAUGAUUUUAGGAAAUUUUCUGUUGUAAUUUUUAAAAUAUUUAAUAAUCAGGUAUUUGUUUUAUCUGAUAGGAACAAUUGAUCCUUUGACUACAAAUUUACCAAAUAUUAAAUUUUUAAAACAUGUAAUUAUACCAAAAAAAAAUUUUUAAAUUGGAAUUUUAAAGCUCGAAAGUAACAUGGGGCUUCUUUGACAUGUCGUUAUUUUUCGUUUUAAAUGAAAGUAGUCCCCGCGCGGGGUUACUUUGACAUCGCAGUAUGGAAUUUUUUUAUUAUUUGAAUAGUUUUAGGGUUAAAAAAAAUUAAUUAUAUGUUUUCAAACAUAAAUAUAUUUAUUUUGAUAAACUUUAAACAAAACCCUCUUUAUUUCUGAGUUAAAAAAUAAAAACAGAUUUAAGACUUAUCAUAGAAUAACUCGACCUUGCUUAUUUACAUAUUUUUCUACGACGCUUCGUAUGUCCGCUUUAGACAUUCGAAAUCUCUCAGCAAUCAAUUGUUCUUCUCGUUGUAAAACACUUGGAUGACCAGGUUUACCUUCGUGUUUAUAAUGUAUCUUAUUCAAAAGGGUGGUUCGGUUAAUAUUGUAUUUUUCCGCAGAAGCCUUUUGUGAGAACUCAUUCCUAAUUUCUUCUAACGCCUUAUUUAAAUCCUCACUAUUUUUUAUAUUUACGCGAACCUAACUUUUUUUUAAUAAUUUUUCGUAGUCACUUGUAAUUUAUACCAAUGUUUACCUCAGACACCCGAACACAAAGAUAUGACCUAAAACAAUAUCAAAUAUCCUAACUUAACCUCACAUGUCGCUUUAAAACAGGUGGUGUCAAAGUAGCCCCCAAAAUAUGUCCAAGUAGCCCGUUUUAGGGUAAUUUUUAGUAUUCUCCGGCAUGUCCAGCGUUCGAAAGCCUGUAGUCUUCUUUCUUUGGGGUCCAUGUAAAGCAGCACAUAGCAUCUCAGCAAUCUGAUUUUCAAGGCCAAACUGAUAUCUCUUGUGCAGAAUAUCUUGUUCAUUUUUAUAAACGCUGAUCUUGCCUUUUCUAUUCAAAUUCUCAUUUCCUGGAAGCAGUGGUUAUCUUGGUACCAAGGUAUUUGUAUUUUUUUUUAAUUAUAUAUAUAUAUAUAUUCAAAGACUUUUACAUUAUUUCGUAUCAGUAUUUUUGAUAUCAUUUGCCUACUAUGAGUUGUAUAUAGCAUUAAUUGAUUGCAAAGAUUUAUGGCACAAUCCCAUAUCUUCUAAAAACCUCAGUUGGAGAAACAUUUUCGUCUAUAUCCAAACGAGUCCCAACGGCAUCUGCAUGAAGAGAAAAAUUUCUUAUAGGUAUUGUUUCAUCAUUUUCCGGUUCUUUAUAUUCCUCAUCUGUAGUUGAUUACCUUCACUAUCCGAACUGCUAUUUUCCGUACUGAUUCAUUGUUGCUUAUUUGAAAGCUUCAGCAGCCUUCAACAACUAUAAAUUGAAGAGAAAACACGAUCGCACUAUUCCACGUGUAUACUGAAGGUGCAAGACGUGUAACAGGUGAAAAGCGAAAUUCAACCUAAGAAAUCCUGUCCAAAAGAUGACACUUGGUUUCUACUUGUCUGCCGGUAACCAACCCAAGUGUCCGUCAACGUGUUAAAAUUGUUAUUAUUUUAGGUAAUAGAGACAAAUAAAUAAUAUUUUUUUCAGUAUACGAUUUUGAUAUUAAUUUUAACACAUUUAUGUUUACAAAAAAAAAGAUGUAAAUAUUAGCAUUUAUAUUUCCUUGUGCCAAUAUUAAUCCAAUUUAAAAUAAACAUUGUACAUACAA